UCCUGAGUGGGUAAUUAAUCUGCUAAAUGAUUUGGAGCUUCAUCUGGAUAAACAACUCAACCUGAAAGAAAAAAAGCAUGGACCUUUAGAUGGCGGGAACCUAAAACCGAAUAUGAAGAUUCUCCUGUGCGUGAAACAAUAAUUGAAGGUGAAAACAAUGCAAAGGCAAAAUUCGGACCUUCAAGACAAUCUUCAUGAAACUGCCAAAGAAUAUAAUCCUCAGCUGGAUCAAGGACAGAACCUGAACGAAAUACAGGUAAGAAUGUCUUAUAAUUACAUCUUUAAACUAUAGACAGGUGUGCAAUAAA